UACGUAGGUGGCAAGCGUUGUCCGGAUUUACUGGGCGUAAAGAGCGCGCAGGCGGUCGUUCAAGUCGCGUGUGAAAGCCCCCGGCUCAACUGGGGAGGGUCACGCGAUACUGAUCGACUGGAAGGCAGGAGAGGGUAGUGGAAUUCCCGGUGUAGUGGUGAAAUGCGUAGAUAUCGGGAGGAACACCAGUGGCGAAGGCGACUACCUGGCCUGUUCUUGACGCUGUGGCGCGAAAGCUAGGGGAGCAAACGGG
rnacentral:rRNA from 1 species